rnacentral:rRNA from 1 species
AUUGAACGCUGGCGGCAGGCCUAACACAUGCAAGUCGAGCGGUAGAGAGGUGCUUGCACCUCUUGAGAGCGGCGGACGGGUGAGUAAUGCCUAGGAAUCUGCCUGGUAGUGGGGGAUAACGCUCGGAAACGGACGCUAAUACCGCAUACGUCCUACGGGAGAAAGCAGGGGACCUUCGGGCCUUGCGAUAUCAGAGGAGCCUAGGUCGGAUUAGCUAGUUGGUGAGGUAAUGGCUCACCAAGGCGACGAUCCGUAACUGGUCUGAGAGGAUGAUCAGUCACACUGGAACUGAGACACGGUCCAGACUCCUACGGGAGGCAGCAGUGGGGAAUAUUGGACAAUGGGCGAAAGCCUGAUCCAGCCAUGCCGCGUGUGUGAAGAAGGUCUUCGGAUUGUAAAGCACUUUAAGUUGGGAGGAAGGGUCGUUACCUAAUACGUGACGAUUUUGACGUUACCGACAGAAUAAGCACCGGCUAACUCUGCGCCAGCAGCCGCCGUAACAC